GUUAAUGUAAUUUAAAAAAAAUAUAGAUUUGUGGUGUCUAAAAUACCCCUCCCGGGUCAUUAACU
rnacentral:tRNA from 1 species